GUUUUUUGAGAGGAGGUUCCUGGAGGACUCAUGUGAUUAUACUGAACUGACCCAGAUAACCCAGGAUAAUUCACAUCUCAAGACCCUUAAACUUGAUGACGUCUGCAAAGUCCCUUUUGCCAUAAGGUUAUAUUGGCAUAUGGUCCAGGAAUUAGUGCAGAGCCACAAUCUCAGAAAGAAAAUGAGAGUGGAUAAUGAAGACAGAUCAUCUGGGUGUAAACCUGAGGAUAUUCCAGAAUAUAGAGGUUAGAGAGAUAAGAAAGAAACUAGCAAGGAAACUAAGGAGCAGCCUCUAAGUAGAAGGAAAAGAAUGGUGAGUUGUAAUUGGAGGUGAAGACAGUUUCAAGGGAGGGUAUGUUAAUUGCUGCUGACACAUCAAGGAAGAUGAGGACUGAGCAUUGACCAUUGGAUUUAGCAACAUGGAGUUUUCUGCUGACCUGGACCUGAGCAGUUUUAAUGGAGUGGUGGGGGCAAUGCAUGACAGAAGAGAAUUCAAGACAGAAGGGACUUUUCCAAAAAAAAAAGGUAUACAAAUGGUUAUUGUGCAACGUGGAAAGAUGUUCACCAAUAUUAGUCAUUUAGGAAAUGAAAAUCAAAAGCACAAUGAGUUACCAGUUCACACUCACUCAGAAGGCAAUAAUCAAAGAAAUGGACAAUAGCAAGGGUUGGGAAGGAUAUGGAGAUAUUCUCCCACAUUGCUGGUGGAAUGUAAAAAUGGUGAAGGUGAAGGUGGAAAAACGGAAAUGAAGUAUUGAGAGGGAGAUGGAAUAUAAGAAGCUUUCUGACAGAUAACCCAAUGGAACAAACUGACUGACUGGGCAUCUGAAAUGAGUAAGAAGGAGUCAAAAAUGAGCAAAAUUAUGCUUCUCUGUGGAUGCAAAUCAUAUCUCCAUUACUUACACCCAGGAGAACUUGUAUGAAGUAGUUAACUUCUCUGGAUUUUAGCUUUUUCAUGUGUACAAUGGGGGGUUUAUGCCUCAUAGAGUUGUAGAAACUGCAAAUGAGAGACUUAUGAAAAGCCUACUGAAUGACCUUAUGAAUAAUAAUAUCAUCAGUGGAAGGUGAUUUGAGGAUGUGAUGCUGUUAUCCCUGACAUGGGCAGGAGGGAACUUGGACAAAGACCAAGGAAGAAAAUAUCUCUUCUCUGAAUGUCUUGUCUGCAUUUGAGUGCAAUGUCCUUUAUUCCGUGUCUUCCACCCAAUCAGGGCCCUACUGCCACUUAAGGGGUAAUUUCUCUUUCAAUCAUUAGUUGUUCCAGCACCAAGAAGCUUAGCCUCAGUUGAGGCACCUGAGUCAGGAGGCCAGGAUCCUUGGGAGAUUGACAACAGGAGGAUAAUCCCAUCAGAAUACUCCAGGAUUCCAACAGUAUCUUAGUCUAUUUAGCUACUAUAAUAAAAUACCUUAGAUGUAUAAA
rnacentral:lncRNA from 1 species